ensembl:lncRNA
GGCAUAAUGACAGUAGGAUGUGAAACACAAAUCUUGAUUCCAAACCUACAUGCAGUAGUCACUGACCCUAACUUCCAUCGAGAAUCCUCAGACGGCAGCAUGAAGACAUUGUGAACGUUUUGCUCGUAACUGACAUCGGAGAAUCACUUACAAAAGGUUCAGAUACUCAUCACGCGUCUCGUCCUGACACACACAUAAGACGAAAUCUAUAAGGACGACCAGGACUGCCUGGCCCAUGAUGCAUCACGUAGUCAUGCCCUUGAUACAUACUUAUUGACCUCCUAGCAAGGGGCACCUGCCACCCUGCCUGUCUCACUGGCCACAUGAUGAAGAGCCACAGCGACGGGGUUCCGUCUUCAAGGAGCUUGCCGUCUGGUUGGGAGAAAAAGGUCACGACAGUACAGCUGGGCAAGGUGAGUGCUACUGGAGGGGCGAGAUCAGAGGGCACUGGGAGCCAGACCGAGCCUUCCUGCGCAAUGAAGGAUGAACCCAGAAGAGAAGAGUACUGUGUCCCCGUGGCCAGUACUUCUGCGCGCUCAGUGCCUCCCAGCUACGGGGGCUCCGUUCUCAGGAGCUGCUCGCAUCCGGGAAGAAGGAAAGGCAGCUUUCUUCUCAAACCAGAAGUUUCCCAAUAACAAGAUAGCGUCGUUCGCAUUAAGCAACUUCUGUGCCAAAUCACAUUAAAAAGUCAGCAUCACACCAGAAAAACCUAAAUAGGUCUACUCGCGAAACGAAAGGCUGUCAUUUCUAUUUGCACCGAUUCAAGAGCUAACAUCUGCCGCGUCUUUCCAGAGGUGCCCAUAUUGCUUCAAUUCUAUGCAUUCAGCUAAUUUCUUAAAACUGUUUGAAACUGAACUGAAACAUAAAUAGACUCCUCUGUGUACAUAUACCACCAUUGCAGUGGGGGAAGUUAUUUUUAUAGAGAAAUUUUUGGUUAAGUGAUAAUGCGGCACCUGGCAGUGAACUCAACAGACAUUUCUGUUAAACUGGGUAUAAAAUAGUGAUUAUUUAAGGGCAUUUAUUUGCUAUUUGGAAGCCAUCAGCUCAUGAUUCAGGAACAUUUGGUAGUUUUUACUUGAGUCAAGAUUGUGGAGCGUGCCUUUCUAAUUCUUUGGUGACAAACAGCUCAGGGGCACAAAGCCCACCCUCCCCAGCCCCCACAGUGGUAAUGGGUGGGGGUGUGGUUGGUGCAAGGAGGGCUGGUGGACAAGUAGCCAACAUUCCUAAUUGCCUGGGGCCUGAUCGAAGUGGACUUUUACCUCCUGGGUCUGCUGUUUCUCCAUACCUCUCUGUCCCUGGAGGACCUAUCCCCACUCUAUCACUCUGGCCCAGGGAACAGAGGGCCAGAAACUCAAGGUGCAGAUACGAACUAAAUAUAACUUAAAAAUUGGGGGCGCCUGGGUGGCUCAGUCGGUUAAGCGUCUGACUUCAGCUCAGGACAUGAUCUCAUCGUUUGUGAGUUCAAGCCCCACGUUGGGCUCUGUGCUGAUGGCUCAGAGCCUGGAGCCUGCUUCGGAUUCUGUGUCUCCCUCUCUCUCUGCCCCUUCCCUGCUCAUGCUCUGUGUGUCUCUCUCUUAAAAAAAAAAAAGUUAAAAAUUGGCUUGGGGACGCCUGGGUGUCUUAGUUGGUCAAGGGUCCGACUCUUGGUUUCAGCUCAGGUCAUGAUCUCACGGUUCAUGAGUUCAAGCCCCACAUCGAGCUCUGAGCUGAUAGCAUAGAGCCUACUUGGGAUUCUCUCUCCCUCUCACUGUCUGCCAGAAUGAAUAAAUAAACUUAAAAAAAUUGGCUUGAACA